GACGUAGGGGGCGAGCGUUGUCCGGAUUCAUUGGGCGUAAAGCGCGCGUAGGCGGCCCGUUUAGUCGGUAUGUGAAAAUCCGGGGCUCAACCCCGGACCUGCAUCCGAUACUGGCGGGCUCGAGGCAGGCAGGGGAGAUCGGAAUUCCUGGUGUAGCGGUGAAAUGCGCAGAUAUCAGGAGGAACACCGGUGGCGAAGGCGGAUCUCUGGGCCUGUCCUGACGCUCAGGCGCGAAAGCUAGGGGAGCAAACAGG
rnacentral:rRNA from 1 species